rnacentral:rRNA from 1 species
CCUACGGGAUGCAGCAGUAGGGAAUUUUCGGCAAUGGGGGGAACCCUGACCGAGCAACGCCGCGUGAACGAAGAAGUUAUUCGUAAUGUAAAGUUCUUUUAACAGGGAAGAAAGAGAAAUUUGACGGUACCUGAAGAAUAAGCUCCGGCUAACUACGUGCCAGCAGCCGCGGUAAUACGUAGGGAGCGAGCGUUAUCCGGAAUUAUUGGGCGAAAAGGGUGCGUAGAUGGCAUAGUAAGUCUUUUGUAAAAAUGCUGGGCUCAACCCAGUAGGGCAAAAGAUACUGCAAAGCUAGAGUAUGACAGAGGCAAGUGGAACUACAUGUGUAGCGGUAAAAUGCGUAAAUAUAUGUAAGAACACCAGUGGCGAAGGCGGCUUGCUGGGUCGAUACUGACAUUGAGGCACGAAAGCGUGGGGAGCAAACAGGAUUAGAUACCCCAGUAGUC